rnacentral:rRNA from 1 species
UACGUAGGGGGCAAGCGUUAAUCGGAAUUACUGGGCGUAAAGCGUGCGCAGGCGGUGAUGUAAGGCAGAUGUGAAAUCCCCGGGCUCAACCUGGGAACUGCAUUUGUGACUGCAUCGCUGGAGUGCGGCAGAGGGGGAUGGAAUUCCGCGUGUAGCAGUGAAAUGCGUAGAUAUGCGGAGGAACACCGAUGGCGAAGGCAAUCCCCUGGGCCUGCACUGACGCUCAUGCACGAAAGCGUGGGGAGCAAACAGG